GGGGUCCAGUGCGCUGCCUGUCAUUCUCUUGCUGAUGUCCUUCUUCCACGCUGGACUCACUCAAGCGAGACCAAAACCUGUAGUGAAGGUGACUCCAGAUCAGCGUGUGUUCAGAGGAGAGACAGUCACUCUCACAUGUGACAUACAGAGAGCAGGAAACAUUCAGUGGACAUACAGCUGGUUUAAAGAUGGAUACACUUUCUAUCCAUAUCCAUAUCCAACAACAGCAGAGUUCAGUUUCACAUCUGAUGAGUCUUACAGUGGUGAAUACAGCUGUAGAGGAGAGAGAUCAGACUCACAGAGAUCAGACAUCAGUGCUGCUGUUACACUGACUG